CGACCUGAAAGAUAAGCUUCUUAUUUAGCGCACUCUAGGAAUAUAAAUCUAAUUGUGCAUUGUAAUAAUCUAUCUGGAAUGUAAAAAUGAAUUAACACACAAAUAUGUAUCUACGAGCAAUGUCUUUGAAACGAGCCAUUCUACUUGUUCGUGAAUCGAUUGGUCGACUUUUAGGUCGGUUUCAGGAUUGAAACUAGGCUAGUGCAAGGUCCUUGCUGACGUUAUAAAGCGAUUCACGUGGAAAGAGAGAGACCCAUCGAGGAUAUCUCUGCCUCCCACUUCCUAAAAAAUAUCGCAGUUAUUCGAAGAAGUUCUCGUAAAAGAGAAAAUAUACGACGCGGAAUCGAUUUGGAGGAGUCGAAGACGAGAGGCGCAUCGGAAAUGAAAUUGACGGUAUUAAAGAAGGCUUAACGCUUUACACGAGCGUGGCGUUCUAAUUAUAGCCAAGAGACCUCUCUGGCGUUGCCAUAUGGAGCACGUACGGGCAGAGCGCAAAGGGUUAAACAACAGGCAUCGUCCAAGCGUGGCGCUUCCCGUAGCCGAUUGGCAUUCAGCGAGGAUCGGCCGAUCCACCGGCCAUUAAUUGCCCAUUAUAUCGUAACGUGGGUGGGCCGCGGACUGCAAUAUCCACCGCUCCUGCCUCCCCUGUCCUUCCUUCUGCCCGACGUCCUCGUCCGAUGCGAGCAAUGGGAACGAUAUCCAGCGAUGAUAUCCAUCAACGGAUGUUUCCACUUCAAGAAAAGAAAAUUCGACGAAACGCUACCUGUGAGAGACGAGAGACAGAAACCUGUUUCGGCUUCUUCGGAGUUUGGGAUCUCAAGGCUUGUAUGUCGAUGUCGGCUCGAUCCCAUCGCUAGCGACUCGCAUAAAUAUAUAGGGACGGAGGAGGCAUGGAUUUAAUGGAAUGGUGCGGCGCGACCGGUCGUGCCGUCGUCGUCGUCCAUCGCGUGUAUAUAUUGUGUUCCAGCGGCCGUGCUCACGUGACACUCGGAUAGAUUUGCGUCAAUGGUGACCUCCGUGCGGCUCGCUCCGCGGCCACGCAUACCACGCUGCCGUGCCGCUGCACGCGUACAAUACUCGCGUGGCGUGGGACCGCCGACGAGCGAGAGAGCAGCGUGAGAGAAAGAGAGAGAGAGGAAGAGAAAGAGAAGAAAUAUUUUUCGUUUUUUUUUUUCUUCGGGAUUAAAUCUUUUCUUACAGCCGAAAACUGUAUAUUUCUAUAUAUAAUGUAACGUUUGCUGGCGCAAAUAGCGAGUAGUCGGUCGAUCGUUUAUUCUCGAAUCUUUAUUUUGAUCA